GACGAACGCUGGCGGCGUGCCUAAUACAUGCAAGUAGAACGCUGAAGGAGGAGCUUGCUCUUCUGGCUGAGUUGCGAACGGGUGAGUAACGCGUAGGUAACCUGCCUGGUAGCGGGGGAUAACUGUUGGAAACGAUAGCUAAUACCGCAUAACAGUAGAUGUUGCAUGAGAUUUAUUUAAAAGCUGCAAUUGAAUCACUACCAGAUGGACCUGCGUUGUAUUAGCUAGUUGGUGGGGUAACGGCUCACCAAGGCGACGAUACAUAGCCGACCUGAGAGGGGGAUCGGCCACACUGGGACUGGGACACGGCCCAGCAUACUACGGGAGGCAGCCGUAGGGGAUCUUCGGGGAUGGAAGGAAGUCUGAACGAUCAACGCCGCGUGAGUGCAUAAGGUUGUCGGAUCGUAAAGGUCUGUUGUGAGAGCAGAAUGAGUGUGAGAGUGGAAAGUUCAUAUUGUGACGGUAUCUUAACAGAAAGCGACGGCUAACUACGUG
rnacentral:rRNA from 1 species